UACGAAGGGGGCUAGCGUUGCUCGGAAUCACUGGGCGUAAAGGGUGCGUAGGCGGGUCUUUAAGUCAGGGGUGAAAUCCUGGAGCUCAACUCCAGAACUGCCUUUGAUACUGAGGAUCUUGAGUUCGGGAGAGUGAGUGGAACUGCGAGUGUAGAGGUGAAAUUCGUAGAUAUUCGCAAGAACACCAGUGGCGAAGGCGGCUCACUGGCCCGAUACUGACGCUGAGGCACGAAAGCGUGGGGAGCAAACAGG
rnacentral:rRNA from 1 species